UUGUCUCAAAGAUUAAGCCAUGCAUGUCUAAGUACAAGCCGAAUUAAGGUGAAACCGCGAAAGGCUCAUUAAAUCAGUUAUGGUUCCUUAGAUCGUACCCACAUUUACUUGGAUAACUGUGGUAAUUCUAGAGCUAAUACAUGCAAAUAGAACUCCGACCGGAGACGGAAGGGGCGCUUUUAUUAGAUCAAAACCAAUCGGCGCCGGUUUCGGCCGGUCGUCGUACGUCUUGGUGAAUCUGAAUAACUUUGCUGAUCGCACGGUCUCGCACCGGCGACGCAUCUUUCAAAUGUCUGCCUUAUCAACUGUCGAUGGUAGGUUCUGCGCCUACCAUGGUUGUAACGGGUAACGGGGAAUCAGGGUUCGAUUCCGGAGAGGGAGCCUGAGAAACGGCUACCACAUCCAAGGAAGGCAGCAGGCGCGCAAAUUACCCACUCCCGGCACGGGGAGGUAGUGACGAAAAAUAACGAUACGGGACUCAUCCGAGGCCCCGUAAUCGGAAUGAGUACACUUUAAAUCCUUUAACGAGGAUCAAUUGGAGGGCAAGUCUGGUGCCAGCAGCCGCGGUAAUUCCAGCUCCAAUAGCGUAUAUUAAAGUUGUUGCGGUUAAAAAGCUCGUAGUUGAAUCUGUGUGUCGCGCCGCCGGUUCAUCGCUCGCGGUGUUAACUGGCGUGUUCGCGGUACGUCCUGCCGGUGGGCUUAGCCCGUAAAAAGGCGGCCCAAACUAGCAAUCCCGCCGCGGUGCUCUUCGUUGAGUGUCGAGGUGGGCCGGCACGUUUACUUUGAACAAAUUAGAGUGCUUAAAGCAGGCUAAAACUUCGCCUGAAUAAUGUGUGCAUGGAAUAAUAGAAUAGGACCUCGGUUCUAUUUUGUUGGUUUUCGGAACUCCGAGGUAAUGAUUAAUAGGGACAGAUGGGGGCAUUCGUAUUGCGACGUUAGAGGUGAAAUUCUUGGAUCGUCGCAAGACGGACAUAAGCGAAAGCAUUUGCCAAAAAUGUUUUCAUUAAUCAAGAACGAAAGUCAGAGGUUCGAAGGCGAUCAGAUACCGCCCUAGUUCUGACCAUAAACGAUGCCAGCUAGCGAUCCGCCGACGUUCCUCCGAUGACUCGGCGGGCAGCUUCCGGGAAACCAAAGCUUUUGGGUUCCGGGGGAAGUAUGGUUGCAAAGCUGAAACUUAAAGGAAUUGACGGAAGGGCACCACCAGGAGUGGAGCCUGCGGCUUAAUUUGACUCAACACGGGAAACCUCACCAGGCCCGGACACCGGAAGGAUUGACAGAUUGAGAGCUCUUUCUUGAUUCGGUGGGUGGUGGUGCAUGGCCGUUCUUAGUUGGUGGAGCGAUUUGUCUGGUUAAUUCCGAUAACGAACGAGACUCUAGCCUGCUAACUAGGCGUAUCCGGCAUCUCGAAGGGCCGCCGGCCGUACGUAGGACCGUUUCGGCGGUUUCUGCCCGGUCGUGCGCGCUUUUUACUGCCGGCGUACAAACAAUUCUUCUUAGAGGGACAGGCGGCUUCUAGCCGCACGAGAUUGAGCAAUAACAGGUCUGUGAUGCCCUUAGAUGUUCUGGGCCGCACGCGCGCUACACUGAAGGAAUCAGCGUGUCUUCCCUGCCCGAGAGGGCCGGGUAACCCGCUGAACCUCCUUCGUGCUAGGGAUUGGGGCUUGCAAUUAUUCCCCAUGAACGAGGAAUUCCCAGUAAGCGCGAGUCAUAAGCUCGCGUUGAUUACGUCCCUGCCCUUUGUACACACCGCCCGUCGCUACUACCGAUUGAAUGAUUUAGUGAGGUCUUCGGACCGGUACGCGGCGGCGUUCCGACGUCGCCGAUGUUGCUGGGAAGAUGACCGAACUUGAUCAUUU
rnacentral:rRNA from 1 species